CACUCCCAUUUUUAGGAUGCUUUGGGGCUCCCUAAAUGUUUCUGGCCUGAGAUCCAUCUCUUUCCAGGCUCCCUUCUUCUCUUGAAAGCCUUCCUAACGUUAGCCCCACUUCUGCCUCUGAGGUGCAGACACCGUCCUCUUCAUCCUCAUUUUUUUGACCCACAGCUUCUUCAGAAUCCUACCCUCUGUCUCAUCUCAUGAAUCCCAUCUGGGUGCUUCUUGGCCUCUUGAUCUGAUACCCCUGACCUCACAUGGUCAAAAGUCUACCCCUUCCCCAGCCACACGGGAAAUAGACAAAAUUCCAGGAGUUUUACCUCAACAUCAAGAAGAUACUGGUAUGUGUACUAAGGAAAACAGCUUCGUUUACAUGCAACCUGUUGUACAUGAGAAAGCAUUCUUACAUACAUUUCUUCAAAAAGAUUAUGGGACACCAACCAAAACAAGUAAGUGUUGCUUAAUUUCUAUUUAUAAAUCUAGGAUGAUCUCUGCAUUAUAGUAGGGAAAUCUUAAAAAACAACAUCACAUACUAAUGGUAAAAAGAUGAUGCGACAUGAAAAAGUAACAGCAUGAAUACCUCCAAUUGCUAUUUGUGAAUUGAAAAACUAAAUUUUAAAAAAAAUUAGCAGAUUGUGAAUGCAUUACUAAUGAUAAAUUCUGUAUUUUUUUUUUUUUUUUUUUUUCUGAGACAGAGUCUUACUCUGUCACCCAGGCUGGAAUGCACUGGCACAAUCUCAGCUCACUGCAACCUCUACCUCCCAGGUUCAAGCAAUUCUCCUACCUCAGCCUCCUGAGUAGCUGAGACUACAGUCAUACACCAACAGGCCUGGCUAAUUUUUGUAUUUUUAGUAGAAACAGGGUUUCAUCAUAUUGUUCAGGCUGGUCUCAAACUCCUGACAUCUGGUGAUCCACCCAUCUCGGCCUCCCAAAGUGCUGGGAUUACAGGCAUGAGCCACCAUGCCCAGCCAAAUUCUGCAAUUCAUACCCAUCUUUCUGAGACUACAUUAAAGUUUUUCUUCCUGAAUUGACGAUGUUUCUGUGGUCUUACAUAUCACCGCAGAGCAAUUUACAUCUAUGACUAUUACUUUCGUCUCACUAACUCCUCCUCCAGUCAAAAAAAAACAAAAAAUUGUUUUUAAGCUAUGGAAAUGAAGUGUUGCUUAGCUGGAGUGACGUUAUGUUGUGUUUCUGGGGUGACUUCCUGCUCAUGUUGGGGUGAGACUGUAGGCUGUGGGCUGUGUGCUGAGGAGGAAGUCUCUUGAUCUGGAGAGAACCCAUUGUCGGGGAGACCUCCACGGGGCUGAGGGGCCAUGAGCCUGCCCGGGUUUAGAGCACGGGGAGGGUGAAAUUCUGGGGUUGAAUCCUGGGAAUAUUUGAGAACUUCUUGCCUCAGGAGGGGAAGAUCCCUGGAGAAUAAAGACAAACUCUGGGUGUCUUGAGGGGCA
ensembl:lncRNA